AAGAGGGAAACAACCCAGACCGCCAGCUAAGGUCCCAAAGUCAUGGUUAAGUGGGAAACGAUGUGGGAAGGCCCAGACAGCCAGGAUGUUGGCUUAGAAGCAGCCAUCAUUUAAAGAAAGCGUAAUAGCUCACUGGUCGAGUCGGCCUGCGCGGAAGAUGUAACGGGGCUAAACCAUGCACCGAAGCUGCGGCAGCGACACUCAGGUGUUGUUGGGUAGGGGAGCGUUCUGUAAGCCUGCGAAGGUGGCCUGUGAGGGUUGCUGGAGGUAUCAGAAGUGCGAAUGCUGACAUAAGUAACGAUAAAGCGGGUGAAAAGCCCGCUCGCCGGAAGACCAAGGGUUCCUGUCCAACGUUAAUCGGGGCAGGGUGAGUCGACCCCUAAGGCGAGGCCGAAAGGCGUAGUCGAUGGGAAACGGGUUAAUAUUCCCGUACUUGGUGUUACUGCGAAGGGGGGACGGAGAAGGCUAUGUUGGCCGGGCGACGGUUGUCCCGGUUUAAGCGUGUAGGUGUGUGUUCCAGGUAAAUCCGGUUCACUUUAACACUGAGGCGUGACGACGAGGCACUACGGUGCUGAAGCAACAAAUGCCCUGCUUCCAGGAAAAGCCUCUAAGCAUCAGGUAACAUCAAAUCGUACCCCAAACCGACACAGGUGGUCAGGUAGAGAAUACCAAGGCGCUUGAGAGAACUCGGGUGAAGGAACUAGGCAAAAUGGUGCCGUAACUUCGGGAGAAGGCACGCUGACACGUAGGUGAAGUGAUUUACUCAUGGAGCUGAAGUCAGUCGAAGAUACCAGCUGGCUGCAACUGUUUAUUAAAAACACAGCACUGUGCAAACACGAAAGUGGACGUAUACGGUGUGACGCCUGCCCGGUGCCGGAAGGUUAAUUGAUGGGGUCAGCGCAAGCGAAGCUCCUGAUCGAAGCCCCGGUAAACGGCGGCCGUAACUAUAACGGUCCUAAGGUAGCGAAAUUCCUUGUCGGGUAAGUUCCGACCUGCACGAAUGGCGUAAUGAUGGCCAGGCUGUCUCCACCCGAGACUCAGUGAAAUUGAACUCGCUGUGAAGAUGCAGUGUACCCGCGGCAAGACGGAAAGACCCCGUGAACCUUUACUAUAGCUUGACACUGAACAUUGAGCCUUGAUGUGUAGGAUAGGUGGGAGGCUUUGAAGUGUGGACGCCAGUCUGCAUGGAGCCGACCUUGAAAUACCACCCUUUAAUGUUU
rnacentral:rRNA from 1 species